UGUCUUUUUGAAAUUAAUAUAAAGUCUAAUCUGCCCACUGAUUUAAUAAUUGAAGGGCUGCAGUAUAUUGACUGUACAAAGGUAGCAUAAUCAUUAGUCAUUUAAUUGAUGACUUGUAUGAAAGAUUGGAUGAAAUAUAAACUGUCUCUUAGUUAAAUAUAGAAUUUAAUUUUUUAAUUAAAAAGUUAAAAUAAAUUAAAAAGACGAGAAGACCCUAUAGAGUUUUAUAAUUAAUUUAAUUAAGAUUAUUUAAAUAAAAAAAAAUUAAAAUUAUAUUAUUUAUUUUGUUGGGGUGACAAAAAAAUAUAUUUAACUUUUUUUAUUUUAAAUAACAUUUAUAAGUGAUUAAAUGAUCCAAUAAUAUUGAUUAUAAGAAAAAAUUACCUUAGGGAUAACAGCGUAAUUUUUUUUUUUAGUUCAAAUAAGAAAAAGAGUUUGCGACCUCGAUGUUGGAUUAAGAUAAAAUUUAAAUGCAGAAG
rnacentral:rRNA from 1 species